ACAAGCCUGACACGGAGCAAGGCACUGGGCAUGACGUGAUGCAGUGCUGCUGGUGCAGGGCAGGGUACAGACUGCCCCAGGGGGCUGUCACCGGGGUCCCACUUGUCGUGAAAGCAGCGAACCCACAACUGGAAAGUGGCCAUCUCUGAUGCUCCCCAUGUUCUUCCAAACAGUGAGAUCGUGGCAAUGAUGCUGAGCUGGUCACUGGCUGGAGAGUGAGCAGACAGAAUCACCCACAAGUUCUCCCAGACGUCUGCUUGCUUGUAUGGAUUUAACAGUGCCAUUCCUGCAGGAACGCUGCCUGCUAUCUCCACUGCAUCCCAAAGACAACCUGGGAAGCAAAGUCUCUCAAGCAGCACAAGCCACACUUUUGGAAAACAAUUGAAGGACUGCCAAGGUCAAUGGCACUGUGGUGAUUUCCACUGGUGACAGACAGAAAGCUAGAUCACCAGUGUGUCCCUGAAGCACAGGAUGUGAUGCCCUCUUGGGAACCCAGCUGGGGAAACUGGAAUUCAAAGGUAAACAAAAUCUUCUGACUCACAGUCCCUAUGGUCAGCCACGAGACAAUCCUCCUCUCCCAUCUUAAGGUCUGUAAGGCCCAAGAAGCUGACUCUGACUCACUGAGGAGGCGUGAGGACUGGGCCAUUUCCGCAGUGUGCACCUUUCUUCCUGACAGCGCAGACAGAAGUAAGACGGGAGAAAGCCUGCACCGCACUGGCUCCAGUUUCUCUUCAGGCACAGGCAUUGGGAAAUUUGUAUUUAGUACCACCACUGCUGCAUCUUUGAACUUAAUUUUGGAAGCACCCCUGUCACCCCAGUGAAAGUAAAACACGAUAUGGAACUAAAAGCUUCCUGCCAGACUUACAAUGCUAAGUGCUGCCAGCUUUUU